UCUCUCUCUCUCUGUCAUCUUUGUCCUUGGGGACAAAUUUGCAUGCAUUGCCUUGAAAACACACACACAGAGUUCUGGGAGGAAACAGUUAUCUUGGGGAAGAGGGAUAUUUUUCUAGAAAACGUUUAAAAGAUUUCCUUUCACAGCUUUUUAGGCAGAACGCAUUGUAUGUCCGCACUUAAGUGAACCCAUGUUGGACAAAAUUGCUGAGAUCAAUCACAGUACAGGUCUUAGGGUGGUACAGUACCUUCCUGUGAAAGUCAAAUUUUACAAGAUAGAAAGGGAAACUUGUUAGACGGUGAAUAGGCAAACAAAAUCUCUGUGUCUAGUAAGAGGUUCUUUGAUGGCAAUGAACAUUAGAAAUGCAGGUCCGGGUUAGGGCCUCCAAGGUCAGAAAGUCUGGAACUUUGAAUUCUGCCCCUAGCUCACCAUUUAUGUGCUAGUUGGUAAAUAUCUAGCUAAACAAUGCAAGUAAAAUGCUUGGCUCAGUGCCUGACAAGACAUCAAAUAUUCAAUGGUUAUAAAUGACUUUAUUAUAAUACAGUAAUAGAUAAUGUAGGGUAGAUAUAGGAAAUUAGGUAAUUUUCUAUUCUGUUCACUUAAUUCUAUUAAUCCAAAAUGGUUAGGAGAAGGUAGUUCCUCGGACCAGCCUUGUGUUGAUGGUGCUUUAAGGAAUGCAGAAAGAAAAACACACACAAAUUAUGCAUCUCUUGGGGGAAUGUGGCGCUGAAAAAGGAUAGAAAAUGCAGUCAGCUCAGUGGUGAAAGAUGCAAGGAGCAGAGGUCUGAAGAGCCACAGUCAGAGAAUCCCUGUGCUCUUGUCAGGAGAGUAACCUGGUAUAUACUCAGAGUUUUGUUUAUUCUAUUAAACACUGUAGAAAGGAGGAAUUCUUGAUAUUUGGGAUAUAUGCACAGUCUAAAGGUCACAGCCAAAGACACAAUGAGUGAUAUGAAUGCCAAGACAACAGGAAAACUCAAAAGAAUGAAAAUCCACUGGAAAUUAUAGUGGCCCAGAAAGGUCUGUUAGCCUUGAAUGUUUAAGAAUUAGGUAGGGGAGGACAAAGAGAACAUUCUAGAUAAGGUGAUAAGAGCAAAAUUGGGCCCGAGCAAUGGUGGCCCACGCCUUUAAUCCUAGCACUUGGGAGGCAGAGGCAGGCAGAUUUCUGAGUUUGAGGCCAACCUGGUCUACAGAGUUCCAGGACAGCCAGGGCUAUACAGAGAAACCCUGUCUCAAAAAAAAAAAAAAAAAAAAAGAGCAAAUUACAACUAUGGUUAUUACAAUGGUUGAAGUGUUAAAUAGUGCAUGGUCAGAAAGCUAGUUUUAUUUUGCAUUUAAAAAAAAUCACAUCAUAACGGUAUUGCUAGUUAAAAAUUAGUUAGGGACUAGAGAGAUUGACACCCACACACAUGCAUAUACCAUGCAUACACAUGUGUAUAACACACAUGUGUAUAUAUCACAUACAUACACACAGCACAUGCACAUGUAUAUACCAUCCACACACAGAAUACACCACACACAUGCACAUACUACACACAUAUAUCACAUAUACAAGUAUAUACCACACAUGUACACACAUAUACACAUACACACUUAAAAAAAGUUAUAGCAGAGACUCAAAUUCAAAGCAUUGUAGUUAUCCAAAUUUGUUAAUUUGAUGAAAUAUAUGGCACAGAUAUUUUUUAAAUGAUUUUGUUUUGUUUUUGAGACUAGUUGUCAUCAUGAAAUACAGGUGAGUCCUCAGGAGUGUGGGCUUUGAGGUUUCAAAAGCUGACCCCAUUCCAAGUUUGUCUUCUUUCUCUGUUUGGGCCAAUUCUGCCUCACCCAGCUGGAAGGUCUCCAAAACUCAGUGGACGGACUCCCAUAUGUGAAUUUCCCACAGCUCUCCUACUUAGCGUUUCAUCUCAUUCUUGGUAUGUACUCUUAGCUUCUACUGCGUUGAAAAUGCUUUCUGUCUGCUAAGAGAAACAGAAACCUGAGGUGGGCACAUAGCUCAGUAGUUAAUCUGAGUUGGCUAAUAUAGGAGACACCCUAGCCUCAAUUCCCAGUACUAUGGAAAGAAGAGUGUGGGGGAAGAGUCAAACACAGAUAAUGGCUUAAGACCAUAGGAGUAGUUUUUUUAAAAAAGAUUUAUUUAUUGCUAUAUGUAAGUAUACUGUAGCUGUCUUUAGACACACCAGAAGUGGGCAUCAGAUCUCAUUACAGAUGGUUGUG
rnacentral:lncRNA from 1 species